GCUGGGGAUCAGCUCAGUUGGUAGAGUGCUUGCCUACCACCAUGCACAAGGACCUGGGUUCAAUCCCCAGCACCACCA
rnacentral:tRNA from 1 species